rnacentral:rRNA from 1 species
UACGUAGGUGGCGAGCGUUGUCCGGAUUUACUGGGCGUAAAGAGCGCGCAGGCGGCUGGUCAAGGCCGAUGUGAAAGCUCCCGGCUUAACUGGGAAAUUGCAUCGGAAACUGAUCGGCUGGAAGGUGGGAGAGGGUAGCGGAAUUCCCGGUGUAGUGGUGAAAUGCGUAGAUAUCGGGAGGAACACCAGUGGCGAAAGCGGCUACCUGGCCCAUUCUUGACGCUGAGGCGCGAAAGCUAGGGGAGCAAACGGG